rnacentral:rRNA from 1 species
ACUUAAAUUGAAGAGUUUGAUCAUGGCUCAGAUUGAACGCUGGCGGCAGGCCUAACACAUGCAAGUCGAACGGUAGCACAGAGAGCUUGCUCUCGGGUGACGAGUGGCGGACGGGUGAGUAAUGUCUGGGAAACUGCCCGAUGGAGGGGGAUAACUACUGGAAACGGUAGCUAAUACCGCAUAACGUCGCAAGACCAAAGAGGGGGACCUUCGGGCCUCUUGCCAUCAGAUGUGCCCAGAUGGGAUUAGCUGGUUGGUGAGGUAACGGCUCACCAAGGCGACGAUCCCUAGCUGGUCUGAGAGGAUGACCAGCCACACUGGAACUGAGACACGGUCCAGACUCCUACGGGAGGCAGCAGUGGGGAAUAUUGCACAAUGGGCGCAAGCCUGAUGCAGCCAUGCCGCGUGUAUGAAGAAGGCCUUCGGGUUGUAAAGUACUUUCAGCGAGGAGGAAGGCGUUGUGGUUAAUAACCACAGCGAUUGACGUUACUCGCAGAAGAAGCACCGGCUAACUCCGUGCCAGCAGCCGCGGUAAUACGGAGGGUGCAAGCGUUAAUCGGAAUUACUGGGCGUAAAGCGCACGCAGGCGGUUUGUUAAGUCAGAUGUGAAAUCCCCGGGCUCAACCUGGGAACUGCAUUUGAAACUGGCAAGCUUGAGUCUCGUAGAGGGGGGUAGAAUUCC